rnacentral:misc_RNA from 1 species
GAUGAAGAACGUAGCGAAAUGCGAUACGUAAUGUGAAUUGCAGAAUUCAGUGAAUCAUCGAGUCUUUGAACGCACAUUGCGCCCCCUGGUAUUCCGGGGGGCAUGCCUGUCCGAGCGUCAUUGCUGCCCUCAAGCACGGCUUGUGUGUUGGGCCUCCGUCCUCCCCCCGGGGGACGGGCCCGAAAGGCAGCGGCGGCACCGCGUCCGGUCCUCGAGCGUAUGGGGCUUCGUCACCCGCUCUUGUAGGCCCGGCCGGCGCUUGCCGACACAUCAAUCUUUUUUCCAGGUUGACCUCGGAUCAGGUAGGGAUACCCGCUGAACUUAAGCAUAUCAAUAAGCGGAGGAA